rnacentral:snRNA from 1 species
AUUGUAAAUAAGUUCCAACUU